rnacentral:rRNA from 1 species
GAUUAUGGCUCAGGAUGAACGCUGGCGGCGUGCCUAAUACAUGCAAGUCGAGCGAACCACUUCGGUGGUGAGCGGCGAACGGGUGAGUAACACGUAGGUGAUCUGCCCAUCAGACGGGGACAACGAUUGGAAACGAUCGCUAAUACCGGAUAGGACGAAAGUUUAAAGGUGCUCCUGGCACCGCCGAUGGAUGAGCCUGCGGCGCAUUAGCUAGUUGGUAGGGUAAAGGCCUACCAAGGCGACGAUGCGUAGCCGACCUGAGAGGGUGAACGGCCACACUGGGACUGAGACACGGCCCAGACUCCUACGGGAGGCAGCAGUAGGGAAUCUUCGGCAAUGGGCGAAAGCCUGACCGAGCAACGCCGCGUGAAUGAUGAAGGCCUUCGGGUUAGUAAAAUUCUGUUAUAAGGGAAGAACGACUUUAGUAGGAAAUGGCUAAAGUGUGACGGUACCUUAUGAGAAAGCCACGGCUAACUACGUGCCAGCAGCCGC